rnacentral:lncRNA from 1 species
CUUUCACUUAAAUAGCAUUUGGAUUUCUUAAAAUCCACAAAGUUUAUAUUAGAGCGUCAUCCAUUAAUGCUUUGGCUAGGAGGGGGUCUAUCGCCCUGGUUGGAGUGCAGCAGUGUAAUCAUAGCUCACUGCUGCCAUGAACUUCUGGGCUCAAGCGAUCCUCCCACCUCAGCCUCCCUGUGUGCUGGGAUUAAAAGUGUGAGCCACCGUGCCUCAUCGUAAGGGUCUUAAAAGAAACCCUAUUUCAUGUUUGCUUUCCAUAUGCUGGAUGAUGUGUGUGGAUUUUCAGUGUGUGUUUCAGAGUCUUAAAAGCUCAUGCUAGCUUGCUUAACAUACCUGCCAUAACUCAUGAUAUAGAACCCUAUGGAGAACUGUGUUGCAACAUGGAUGCAGUGCCUAUACUAAGGCACAUUGCCAAGCUGAAGACUGUCAGAGAGCAUCACUAACGGAGGACCUAGUUGUCUCACCUGUGGUGGUGGAAAGAGCACCAAGCUUGGAACCAGAGGGCCCAGGUUCGGGUCACUGUCAUCAUGUGAGCAUGGGCAGGGCCACUGUCAUAAGGACGCCUGGAAGAGUGAAGAAAGGCCUGAUUGAUCACAAGGUCCUAUCAAAUGUCAAAGCUGGCCCUGGCUGACCUCCCAUCUAUUCAGAGCUGCUUUGAUUUAAUCUCCAAACUGGCUGCUUCUCCAGGCUAGAAGAGAAUUGAAAAUUUCAAGAAGGCAAAGGUGAUGGAAGUGUCUUCAUGAGACCCUUGGGUAACAUAAAUUGGCAAAGAAUUGGAUGAUCUGGGUUCUAAGAUCUGGCCUUAAAACUAGCCAUCUAUUGACUGAGUUCCCAUCAUUUCUACCGCUUUCAUCAGUUCUUGUGCAGCAGAAUGAGGUCCCAGCAGGGUUUUCUCUCAUUGCUGCCUCCACCCUCUGCCUUGUCAGAAGUCUGACCCAGACCUCCCUGGACUAAACUCAAGAUGUCAUCAGAGGCUGGAGUGCAGUGGUGCAAUUAUGGAUCGAGGUUAACUGCAGUCUCAACUUCUCAACCUUGUGAAUUCAAGCAAUCCUCCCACCUCAGCCUCCCAAGUAGCCGGAACUACAGGCAUUUAACACCACAUCCAGCUAAUUUUUAAAAAAAUAUUUUGUAGAGACCGGGUCUCACCCUGUUGCCCAAGCUGAUCUCAAACUCCAUGGUUCGACCUCCUGAUGCCCAAAUCCUGGAAUUACAGGCAUAAGCCUCUGCACCUGGCUGCUUUCUUCCUCUCAAGAGCUUUUCAGAAUUCAAAUGGUUUGAAACUUUAUUGAGAUUAAAGUGAUCAUUUUUUUUUCUUUCUUUCUAUUUUGUUAUUAUUGUUGUCGUUUUGAGACAGAGUCUUACUCUGUCUCACAGGCGGGAGUGCAGUGGCAUAAUCUCGGCUCACGGAAGCCUCCACCUCCCGCAUUCAAGUGAUUCUCAUGUUUCAGCCUCCCAAGUAGCUGGGAUUACAGGUGUGUGCCACCAUGUCUGGCUAAUUUUGUAUUUUUAGUAGAGACGGGGUUUUGCCAUAUUGGCCAGCCUGGUCUCGAACUCCUGGCCUCAAGCGAUCCACCCGUCUCAGCCUCCCAAAGUGCUGGAAUUACAAGCAUGAGCCACUACACCUGGCCCAAUUUUUUUCUUUUAUGGUUCAAGUCUAUGAAUUCUUUUGUCUAUGCUUAGAUCCUGCAAAUUUUUUCCUAAAAGUUUUACAGUUUAACAUUUUACAUUUAAUUCCAUAAUUCAUUUUGAGUUAUUUUUUGUAAUAAAGUGUGAGGCUUAGGUCAAGGUGUUUUCUUUUAUUUGUUUUUGUUAUUGUUGUUUGUUUUGUUGCUGUUGAUGUCUACUUGUUCCAGUACCAUUUGCUGAAAAGACCAUCUUUUCUCCAUUGAUUAAUUUUGUAAGACCAUAACUCUUAACAUCAAAGAAGACACAACUUUAUCUAUAUUUUCUUAUAUCUAAGAAAAGCAGUAGUUUUUGUUUAGAGAGUGCUAAUUGUGUGCCAAAGCACUAUCCUAAGCUUCUUAUAUAUCUUUACCCAUUUCCUUGCCUCAAUGACUCAUUACUCAUUUAAUUGUCUUAAUAACUCCUUGAAGUAAGUAUUAUUGUUUCCAUCUCACAGAUAAUGAAACUAAAAUUUAGCCAGGUUAAAUGAUUUGCUCAAAGUCACAAAGCUAGUGAGUUGGAAAGCUGGGAUUCGGACCCAAGCGAUAUUCCCCUAAAGACUGUGCUGUUAACCUUCAUGAAUGCUGCAUUAUUUACAGUGCGCCAGAUAUUUAGCAAAAUACUGAACAUUUUGCUGUUUUUCUCACUGUUAUCACAAGGCAUUUCAACUAACGUAAUAAUAAAAGACUCUCUCCUCACAUCCCUUUUUUUAAGUUUCAUGUGUUUGAUGUUUUAUUCAUAUCAAAACCCUCAUGUCCAUGAAAAUACAAUUUAAGAGUCAAAAAGCAUAAAAUUAUAUUUCCAAAUUUGGAGUCUGUUUCACAAGCUGAAGCGCACAGUUUUGAUACCUUGACAAUCUUUCUGUUACUUGCAAACCAACUCUAUUUCAUAGGGUCUAAACACACGCACACACACACACACACACACACACACACGUACACACAAAUCCACUGGGGAAUCCCAGUGCUAUUGUUAUUAGGUACUAAUACAGCUUAGGAUUGUUUACUAAAAUCAACUCCUAUUUCCUUUUUGAUUUGUUCUUUCAGUUUGUUUCCUGGUUUCUUAGAGUAAACACAGCAAGUAUUCAUGAUAAAUGAAGGCACUAUGGAAGGAAACAACGCUAGCUGUGCUGUCAGAGAAAAAUUGAAAAAAAGUGGCGAUGCAAAAUUUCCAACAUGUAAAUAUUUUCUUUCAUAUGCAGGCAGAAAAUGGGAUAUUAAAAUAUGAGCCAACAAUAGAUUAUUAAAAAAUUUCUACUCAGUAAAAAUGAAAAAAAAAAACAAAGAAAAAUCAUCUUUUACUGUAAGGGCAUUUUGGAAUCUUCAUUUACAAAAGCAUUUCUGAAGUUGCAAAAUCUGACACAGAUGAAAGAUAAAAGAGCCAGAAAUUCCUUCUCACAUGCAAUAUCAAACUGACUUGGGUUACAGGAACGCUGUUAAACUGAGUUUGAACAAUCCUUUUUUAUUGUGUUUAUCUAUGCAUGAAGCAACUUGUCAUGUUCUUCUCUUAAGUAAAAAGCACUGUCCUAAAAAUGGUACUUGUAGUAGUUUGCCUUAUUGAGAAGAAGAAGAAGGGAUAAAAUCUAGUCUGAAUGGUUUGAAGUUCCAAUAUGAGAGCUACUCGGUAUAAUCCAAAAGUCCCAAGAUAGUUUAAAAUUGUCAUCCUGAUUUUCAAAUAUAUCUCCAAACUAGAUUUCCAAAUCUUCUGAGAUGUUUUCAUCACUAAAGCUGGAGAAAUUGUAGAUGAUAGACAUCCAGGAGAUUGGUUAACAAUUGCUGGGUACAAUGUCUACCACUGAUGAAGCUGCUAGCAGGUAGAGAUGAAAGCAUUAUGGAACAUAAACCACAUAGAUAAGUGACAUAAAAUACAGCACUUUGGAAUCUUGGUAUGCACCUGCCCUUCCUCUCCCAUUCCCUGCUCCUCAACACUCUUGGCCUUUCUUCUGUUCUUCUUUGUUCCCCAUUUCACUUUCCAUUUGUGGAGAGUUCAUAUCAUGUAUUAAAAUGAUACUAACAGUUGGUGGUUCUCUGCAGUCCCACUGCUUUGAGAGGCUGAGGUGGGAGGAUCACUUGAGGCCAGGAGUCUGAGACCAGCCUGAGCAAGAUGGUGAGACCCUAUCUCUACCAAAAAAAAACCUCCCCAAAUAAUAAUACUAAUACUCAAUGAAACUCUGGAUUUACACAUAUUUAUACCUAAGGGAAAUUGUAAGCUACAAAUUUAUUUGGUGUAAGGGUCCUUGGUGAAGUAGAAAGAUAGAGUGAACACUGUAUUUAUACUUUUUAAAGGAUUCUCAGAACAUUAAAGAAAGCAAAAUCAAAGCUGUUCUUGUUGGCUCAGGUUAUAUAAAAUUUAGGGCAUUCAGAAAAGGCUAAAAAAAUUAAUUUUCUUUCUGUUUUGCUUCUCCUCAGAUAAAGAUAUGCAAUAUUGCAGCAAGACAUUUAACUGUGUAGGUCAUUUGUGUUUUAUUAUAAAAAUCAAAAAUGUAUUUCAUUUUGUGUUUCAUUAUAAAAAUCAAAAAGGGCAAAAGUAAAGUAAGUAAUUUGUGUUUUGAGCUUCAUUAUGAAUAUCAAAAAGGGCAAAAGUAAGGUAGAGUGUAGUACAUGGAAUCAUCAGUGUCUCUGAGACUCAGUGGUGAGACAACUUCAAGAUAAAGAGGAAAGAGAAUAAUUUGCCUUUUUUUCUCUAACCAUGUACAAUUAUGAACUUCCGAAUAUCCUACUAUUCUUUACCAGAUCCCCUGAGUCAUCUUUUUAAAGGUAAACCAGAUUAUGUCAGCUUAAAACCCUUUAGUGGCUUUCCAUCUCACUCAGGAUAAAAUCCAAAGUCCCCCCAUUGGCCUUCCAAGGUCCUUUACAUAGACUGACCUCCAAUUACCUUUCUGAUCUCAUGUCUUCUGCUCCACUUUUCUCUUCUCUGCAUCGUCAAGUUCUCUCAUUCAUCUGCCUGGACUGUGUUUUCCCCAAAUGUCCUGUGGCUCAUUCUCUCACCUCCUUCAAGCCCUUCUCUCACAGAGACCUUCCUUGGAUGCUUUACACAACCACCCUCUAUCUUUACGUCUACAAUUUCUCAUCUCCCUUGGCUUUAUUUUUCUCCUUAGCAUUUUUUUUCAAAAUAUAAUGCUAAAUAUCUUAAAUAUUUCUUGUUUUUUAUUGUUUUCUUUUGCUUUUUAAAAUUCCCUACUAAAGUGUAAAUCCAAGAAGUGCAGGAAUGUUUGGGUUUAAGUAAAAUAUGUAUAUGGUACAUACACACAAUGGAGUACUAUUCAGCCAUAAAAAAGAAUGAGAUCCUGUCAUUUGCAACAACAUGGAUGGAGCUAGAGAUCAUUAUGUUACAUAAAAUAAGCCAGGAAUAGAAAGACAAACAUUGCAUGUUCUCAUUUAUUUGUGGGAUCUAAAAAUCACAACAACUAAACUUAAUGACAUAGGGAGUAGAAGGAUGUUUACCAGGGGCUGGGAAGGGUGUUGGGAGGCUUUGGGGGAAGUGGGGAUGGUUAAUAGGUACAAAAAAUACAAAGAAGGAAUAAGUCCUACUAUUUGAUAGCACAACACGGUGACUAUAAUCAAUGAUACCUUAAUUUUACAUUUUAAAAUAACUCAAAGAGUGUAAUUGGAUUAUUUGUAAUUCAAAGGAUAAAUGCUUGAGGGAUGGAUACCCCAUUCUCAACGAUAUGCUUAUUUCACAUUGCAUGUCUGAAUUAAAACAUCUCAUAUACCCCAUAAAUAUAUACACCUACUAUGUACCCAC